ACUAGUGCUCUUAGGAUGUUAUCAGCUGCACCCAAUUAUUUCUCUCCGAUCUCCGAUGAAACAAUAAACGACCAACAAGACAUAAAAGGCCGAAAGCAAACAGUGAUUAUAUCCGAUAAGCUCACCCUGGUUGCACAGCGAUUCUCCGUUCACUCUCCCCCAAUGGCCACCGCCACGGUCAGCCUAUCUCUAGUUCACGCUUCCCCCUUUCUUCGCUUCCGCUCCCCUUGCUCUCCCCCAAACGCCCCUAGUCUUUUACUCUAUUCACACCCUAAACCCUGCCUCACUGUCUCGUCCGUUUAUCUGAAAUCCAACGCUGCAGCUAAACCUCGCGCCAUAACAAUUGCUUUAGCUCACAAGAAACUAUCGGAAACGGAAAUUGUCGCCGUACCUCCCGCAUCCGAGCAACUUUCCGGAAAUUUUCCGUCCGAUGCCGGCGUUUACGCCAUCUACGACAAGAACGAGGAGCUUCAGUUCAUUGGCAUAUCGCGGAACAUUGCGGCGAGCGUUACUGUGCACCAGAAAUCGGUGCCGGACCUCUGCGGCUCAGUCAAGGUCGGGGUGGUAGAUGAUCCUGACAGAACAGCUCUGACCCAAGCUUGGAAAUCAUGGAUGGAAGAACACAUAAAAGCCACUGGAAAGGUCCCACCAGGUAAUGAAUCAGGGAACGCCACCUGGGUCCGACAGACACCAAAGAGGAAGCCUGAUCUUCGGCUGACUCCUGGCCGUCAUGUUCAACUGACGGUCUCACUGGAGGAACUCAUUGAUAGGUUGGUAAAGGAAAACAAAGUGGUGGCCUUUAUCAAGGGUUCCAGAAGUGCACCAAUGUGUGGAUUCUCACAGAGGGUGGUUGGCAUCCUUGAAAGCGAGGGAGUAGAUUAUGAAAGUGUUGACGUGCUCGAUGAAGAGUAUAAUAAUGGAUUGAGGGAGACUCUGAAGAAGUAUAGUAACUGGCCCACAUUUCCGCAGAUCUUUGUGAAUGGUGAAUUGGUUGGAGGUUGCGAUAUUCUGACUUCCAUGUACGAGAAGGGUGAACUAACUAGUUUUUUCAAGAAGUAACUGUCAAAUUCCUCAGCAAUUGGUCUUCUUGUAAUGCGAGGUGGCGUAGGAGAUCAGGGACAAGAGAAUGGGACUAUGCAUGUGGUAAUUGAGGUCAGAGUAUGGUUGAUUACUAAACAGUGUGGCGGAUGUUGGGCACAUACUAGAAAAGCUGUAUCAAAGAGUGAACUGUUCAAAGUUAGUAAGAUCAUAUUUUUAUGAGGAUUGCUAUCAUGCUUUUACGAGGAUUGUUGUGUUCACAGAGAGAUUUCAAGAAACUAGAAAGUGAAGCUCAUAAUUGAUACAGCUAAAUGUGAUAGGUUAGAUCUAUUUUAGAAAUAAAAAAAAAGAAAUUUUCUAAUAUGAUGUAUCGCAACAAACUACAUUAAUUUGUAAUGUGUUUGUAAACUAAACAUUUCUCUACUUUUAUUGCCUUGAGUUGGCAAUCAUGAAUUAUCUUCAA